rnacentral:rRNA from 1 species
AAAUUGAAGAGUUUGAUCAUGGCUCAGAUUGAACGCUGGCGGCAGGCCUAACACAUGCAAGUCGAACGGUAACAGGAAGCAGCUUGCUGCUUUGCUGACGAGUGGCGGACGGGUGAGUAAUGUCUGGGAAACUGCCUGAUGGAGGGGGAUAACUACUGGAAACGGUGGCUAAUACCGCAUAACGUCGCAAGACCAAAGAGGGGGACCUUCGGGCCUCUUGCCAUCAGAUGUGCCCAGAUGGGAUUAGCUUGUUGGUGAGGUAACGGCUCACCAAGGCGACGAUCCCUAGCUGGUCUGAGAGGAUGACCAGCCACACUGGAACUGAGACACGGUCCAGACUCCUACGGGAGGCAGCAGUGGGGAAUAUUGCACAAUGGGCGCAAGCCUGAUGCAGCCAUGCCGCGUGUAUGAAGAAGGCCUUCGGGUUGUAAAGUACUUUCAGCGGGGAGGAAGGUGUUGUGGUUAAUAACCGCAGCAAGUGACGUUACCCGCA